UACGUAGGGGGCUAGCGUUGUCCGGAAUCAUUGGGCGUAAAGCGCGUGUAGGCGGUCCGGUAAGUCCGCUGUGAAAGUCGGGGGCUCAACCCUCGGAUGCCGGUGGAUACUGUCGGGCUCGAGUCCGGAAGAGGAGUGUGGAAUUCCUGGUGUAGCGGUGAAAUGCGCAGAUAUCAGGAGGAACACCAAUGGCGAAGGCAGCACUCUGGGACGUGACUGACGCUGAGACGCGAAAGCGUGGGGAGCAAACAGG
rnacentral:rRNA from 1 species